rnacentral:pre_miRNA from 10 species
CCCCAGACAUUCCAUGUGUUUCUCUUGUCCUUCAUUCCACCGGAGUCUGUCUCGUACCCAACCAGAUUUCAGUGGAGUGAAGUUCAGGAGGCGUGGAGCAGA